AUUGAACGCUGGCGGCAUGCUUUACACAUGCAAGUCGAACGGCAGCGCGGGCUUCGGUCUGGCGGCGAGUGGCGAACGGGUGAGUAAUGCAUCGGAACGUGCCCAGUAGUGGGGGAUAGCCCGGCGAAAGCCGGAUUAAUACCGCAUAAGACCUGAGGGUGAAAGCGGGGGACCGAAAGGCCUCGCGCUAUUGGAGCGGCCGAUGUCGGAUUAGCUAGUUGGUGGGGUAAAGGCUUACCAAGGCGACGAUCCGUAGCUGGUCUGAGAGGACGACCAGCCACACUGGGACUGAGACACGGCCCAGACUCCUACGGGAGGCAGCAGUGGGGAAUUUUGGACAAUGGGGGCAACCCUGAUCCAGCCAUGCCGCGUGCGGGAAGAAGGCCUUCGGGUUGUAAACCGCUUUUGUUCGGGAAGAAAUCCUCUGGGCUAAUACCCCGGGGGGAUGACGGUACCGGAAGAAUAAGCACCGGCUAACUACGUG
rnacentral:rRNA from 1 species